CUUCUUGGUCUGAUUCGUAGUACUCGUAAUCGCCUUCGUCGUCUCGCUCUUGCUGUUCCUGCAGGAUGGAGUCCAGCUCCCUGUCCCACAGCCAGGUGCCGAGCACCUCAUCCUCUAGCUUCUUUCUCAGGGCCGCCAUGUCCAGAUCCGGCUCCAUGGCCGCCGAGGCGCCGCGAGAUCGAUCCGCGAGACAGAUUUACAGGGGACAAAAGGGAGGAACUGACCUUCUUCUCCACCCUCCGUGAUCUCCUUCCUCCGCCGACACGGACGGAUCGAGAGGCGAUUUUCCGGCGGGCGCCGAGGCGAUCUCCCUCGAUGAACGGCCGCCGCCGAGGCGAUCUCCUUCCUCGCGGACGCGACUUCGCUGCUGACUCUUUGCAACAGCGGCUACUGGGCUUUCUACUUUUCAACCCGGGCGGGGGUCUAAUGGGCUUUCUACUAGUACUAUUAUUUUACGUGAUAGUCAGGCCGAAAUUGAAUAUAUAUUUUUACGAUCAUGUUUAUUUUUUUUCAACAUAACUAACUUUAUUCCUCAUAUAAUAGCCAUGCCAUUUACAAUAAAAUCAUGUUUUUCCAUAAAAAACAAUAAAAAUCAUGUGAUUCUAAGAAAAAAAAUCAUGUUUCUCAAUCAAUGUGCGGGUACACUAAAAAAAGUCAAUAUGCGGCUAGUAGCUUCAUGGUGGCAGAGGUUUGCAAGGGUUGGCAUGGUGGUGAGAGAUCAUGAGGGAUCGGUGCUCAUUUCUUCAUGGUCUGCACAAAUGUCGAGGAAAUAGAACCGCGAGCUUGUUUAGUGGGAUUGUAUAUUGCAGUUUCACCGCAUAAGCCCGUCAUUUUGGAGACUAAUUGUUUGUUUACAAAAAUAUAUUUGUCUAAUAAUGUUUUGUAUAACUCAGCCCUCGUGGAUUUAAAGAGGGAAGCCUUAGGUGUCCCUCAACUUAUUCCACAGUGUAACAUGGCAUGGAUUACUAGGGACAAGAACAAAGUGGGCCAUUAGAUUGCUAAAUUUCGGCUUGAUUCUAGAUUGGGUGGAUUAAUUUUAGCAGAGUGUACCAUCCUGCGAAACGGAUUCUAUAACGAACGGUUGUAUUAAAGUUUAUUAAUUAAUAUGUGAAUGGGUUUAAAAAUGUUUAUCAAUUAAUAAAAGCAGUAAAGUGAAGCUUUUUAAAAUAUUUUUGUCACUAACUCAUUGAGGUAAUCUUGCUAAAACUUUCUAGAUGCCUCCAACUCCCAAUUUGAUCUGAACUCUAAUUUUAGCUAAUCCAACAAGUUUACACUGUCACAACACAUUUCUUGUGUACUAACUAUAAACCUUCGUAGCAACAGGACAAAACUAAGUGAAACCACUUCACAUUGUAGCAAACAAUAGAAUCACUGAAGAAAAUAGUGAGGUGUCAGAAUUGAUCUUAAUCUACAAGAGGCCGGUCAAUGGCUGAAAUGAUUUUGAGCAAUCAUAGCCACUAUAAUAGCCUUAAGGGUGAGUAUGUGUCUUGUGAGUGGAGAGGGGGCGGGGGCGGGGCAAUGGGACGCAUUUAAAAGGCAGUUCGGUGAAAGUGGGAUUUGAGGAGCAUGCCACCAACCAUAAGGGUGGGAUUUGAGGAGCAUGCCACCAACCAUAAGGGGCAGUGCAUGUUCUUGUCAGUUGGCCGAUAUAAAUGUUUGAAUCAGGGUACCAUGAGUUUAAAUUCUGAGAUUAUACAUUAUUACUAGUACUAUGGUAGAUUGGGAAGAUCAUUCAUACUACAUACUAUUGGGGUUGAUGUCAAGACGCUAGAGACAUGCAUUCUACGCAAGACAACUCCAAUUAUCCUCACAAGCUGGGAUCCGGCUUGCCUGCUCUCUCCCCGUGCUCCCAUCCGUACUCCCAUUUCAUCCUACGACUAUCUUUUUUUCUUUUUUUUCUUUCUAAUCUAGUCGUCACCCCCCUGAUUUUAAGAGGAUGGGGUCAGGACUUAUUUUGUUCCAAUCAAAUAAAGCCACGUACGCGGGAGCAUGGAUAGGCACAUGCGUGGGGAGCAGACAAGUCUCGUCCCACAAGCUGCGCACGCCGUGCCAUGCAUUGGGUUAUCUGGGAGCAACGAAAAAAUAUUAGCAUUUCCAUGGGUGGUUGUUAAAUCCAUCUCAACUGAAGCUCGUGCACUUCUAUGGAUGCCACUACUAGAAUCGUCUUGAUUACUUUGUUACACUUGAAAAAUACAAAACACUCUGCAAAGGCCAACCUUUGCCGGUUGUUUCUUACAAAGCACUCUGGCAUUUUCUUUCUUUCUUUAUCUCUCGUUUUCUUUAUUUUCUUCAUUUCUCUUUUAUUUUCUUCAUUUUUCUUUUAUUUUCUAUCUUUUAUAAUUUUUUUUCUUUUUCUUCUCCUUUUCUAGACAUUUAAUAGAUAUAGUUCAAAUGAAAUUUGAAUUGUAAGUGCAUGAAAACGUUGGCAAAAAUGGGUUGAAGUACUAAAUUUGAAUCAAAAGGAGUAUUGAAAUUAAACGUUAAUGCACCAUUCAUCUAUCUACUAUAACUAAGCUCCAUAUGGGAAAUUAAUCGGCAGGUGCAUCAGUCUCGUGCACGCUCUCAUCACCUAACAAAAAAUUAAUGCCAUCAUGUAACACUGGUGGGUCAACAAUUUCUUUUCUUAAGAAGCUCUCACAUUCAAGUGAGGUGUUCAAUUUUGAAUCUGGUUCACGAUUUUGACCGGUCAAUGAUUUUGGAUGGUUAGGAGGCAUGAUUUUGACCAGUCAAUGAUUUUGGAUAGUUAGGAGGACAUUGGUAUUCCCAGCCCACCAGAGUUUAAGUCCUGGAACUGACAUUAGUGCUCGUAUUUUUCUGGAUUUAUUUCAGGCCUUUUAGCAAUGUGCGUUCAGUGGGAGGAGACGUUUCCAUUGACUACGCAUGCGUCUGUGGCACCUUCAUCAAUCUCAAGAUGAAGUACCGCUCUAUCUCUCAGAGGUGCUCAUUGGGAUAGAGUGUACGUGCAUGCAUUAUAAGGGAUGAGUGUAUGUGUGUGUAUAUGAGCGUCUGCAUCCGUGUUAAAAAAAUUGAGAGGUGAUUUUUUUGUGAGGGAAACCCACUAUGAUCAAAUGAAGAGCGGUCUUUUUUGGUUCUUUCAUUUCUUUAUCACACUAGGUGAAAGUUUAGAAGUAUCUCCAAAUCUUCUACUAAAAUACAAAAUGUUGAAAAAUCAGUUUUUUUUUGCAACAUGCAUCCAUGUUAUAUACAACACAUAGUGCUCCAAAUUUGACUGUGAAUAGACUCAAAUGCAUUGUGUUCUAUAUCAACGUCUUUCCGUUGCACACACGGUAGAUUAUUACUUCCUCCUGUUCUUUUUACUUUGAAUAUUAUCUAAAGUCAAACUUUAUAAAGGUUGACCAUAUAUUUAUAUAAGAAAUAUCAACAUGUAAAAACACAGAAGUUAUACAAUUUAAAAAUUAAACUCAUGGCGCACCUAAUGAUAUUAAUUUUAUAUAUCAAAUGUUGAUAUUUUUUGCAUCAGAGGGUAUCUUAGAGCAUCUUUAGUAGCAGACCCUUUAAAAUCGCAAACUGUAAAACUAGGAUACAGAUAAAAAAAUUACAUUUUAAGGGUUCAUUUUAGCUUCCUCUAGUUCGGUUGCUGCUCGUUCCCUAGCCGGCCGCGCCAGCCAUGCCCAACCCCGUCGACCGCGCCCGUCCCUGCCAAGCGCACUUCAUCACCAUGCCGGCCGCGCCCCGUCGCCCGCCGUCCCCGCCUUGCUCUAUUGCCAGCCGCGCUAGGCUAGCCGUGCCCCUUUGCGUGCCAUGCCGGGAGGAUUCCGGCGGCCAGGCUGAGGUCAUGGAAGGUCACAGCGAUGUCAAGUUCGUCCAACUCGAACUGGCGGUGAUCAAUUGCGGCGUCUAACGAGCUUUUCCGGGGUGUGGUGAUGAAUUCCGACAAGUUUAGGACGGAUUCCGGCAAACUUCGCGACGACGUGUUUGCUCCAACGAGGUUUGGCCAGUACACGGGUCCCCUUCAGUUUGGCCUUCCAACCUUCAAAGAUAAGGGUUUCGGGUAUGCAUUUUCGGCGGUCCUUAAAAAAUUUAUGGGCUGAACCACUUUUACGAUUCGGACAUUUUUUUUUGACCAUGCAAAGGUUAUGACAAUAUGACCAGUUAUACAGGGUUGCUCAAAAAAAUACAGGGUCUGCUAGAGAUGCUCUUAAUACGUGGAGCCAAUAUGAUACAGCCAUAAAGGCCACAAAGAAAUGCUGAUUGAACAUUUAUAUUAUCCAUUUCUCAAUCCAGUUCUUGAUGCUGACCACAAAGAAAUGCCGAUUGAACAUUUAUAUUGUUCAUUUCUCAAUCCAGUUCUUGAUGCCACUUCGCAGCAUCUUGCAUUUGAUUAUUAGUACGUACAAUAAUAAAUUUGUGAAAAAUACUUUUUAAGAGAAAUCUACGUGUGGCGUUUUGGCGGCUCUAGAUCUGAUCAUUUUUUGAAAGAAAAAAUGAGCGUGCAGAUUCUUCUUAAGACAAAUCAACACGAAUUAUUACACUUUCUCGAUUAAUUUUUUUUACUGAGUCGAUCUGUAUGUUUUUGACAAAAGAAUAGAAGGGAUACAGUGCAGCCAUUUUGAACAUCACACGCCAUAACUUCUCUAGCUGCGGACAGCACAACCUUAAUGGGAUUUUGCACAAUUAGCACGAAGCUCAACAUACUCCAUUUGACAGCUGACCAGCGACCACGAAACAUUAUUCAAAUUUUUAUCAGUAGUAAGGAAGUAUUCAAACUCUUGGCAGAAACCACAAUGCUGCCGUGUCGAACAAUAAGAAACAAGGGCCAUAAGCAUCAUCAUCGUGUCGAACUCGCCAUGAACAGACGUUUGUGUCGGUGUCACCGACGACAGAACACGUAGCCCACACGGCAACCAUCAACAGCACGACCCAAACCAAAACAACGCAAAAAAACAGCAAUUGGUCGCACAACAAAUCAAGAUAGAAUACCACGAUGGGAUCAAGGACACGACAACAACAGAGUUGCUGCUACCAACAAUAGUUGUGAGGUCGUCAACAUACGUUUGCUUCAUCGCAAACCAAAAGUAACAUCAUCACAUAUCAAGUUCGUCUUACUCAUACCAACAACCAUAUUUCUUCCACAGAAAACAAGAGAGACCUAGCACGGCAAUUAGGAACAAACUACAACCGGAAGCAACACAUUCCACUUCCGAUCCACUAACAGCGUUGACGGGGAGGACGGCUUAGGCCCUUUCGCCACGGAUGCGGCGGGCGAGCUGGAUGUCCUUGGGCAUGAUGGUGACGCGCUUGGCGUGGAUGGCGCACAGGUUGGUGUCCUCGAAGAGUCCCACCAGGUACGCCUCGGCCGCCUCCUGGAGGGCCAGCACUGCGUGGCUCUGGAAGCGGAGGUCGGUCUUGAAGUCCUGGGCGAUCUCCCUCACCAGGCGCUGGAAGGGCAGCUUGCGGAUCAGCAGCUCCGUGCUCUUCUGGUACUUGCGGAUCUCACGGAGCGCCACGGUCCCGGGCCUGUAGCGGUGGGGCUUCUUCACGCCGCCGGUCGUCGGCGCCGACUUCCUCGCGGCCUGAAAUCACACGCGCGGAAUCACCAUCAGCAAACAACAUCGAACAGAUCUGGACAAGGGAAAGAGGAAGGGGGACGAGAGAAGGGGGGCGGACGCACCUUGGUGGCGAGCUGCUUUCGGGGCUGAUCAAUGAUUGACUAAGCUUAAUUAUGUUCCAUCUGAAAAAGGAUAGGAAUAAUUUUAAAUUUUCGUAUUGUUUUUACAGUGUGAUGAUGACGUUAAUUGUUGCUGCUCUACUUUGCAUACAUCAAUUUAUUUUCAGAUUCUUGGCUUUGUAACACGUUGAGAGGGAGUAUAACAUCAUGGCCGAUGCUAUAUUGUAGUAGUAAUUCCAGUCAAGGCAUGAUUAUAUUACUGGAGGAUGUUGAACUCAACAGGUCAUACUCUUAUUGAUUCCUUAGGAUCCUCUAUUUGUCGAGAGCCCAACGGUCAUGAAAUCAACUACGGGUGAUUUUAAUCUAUGCAUCCUCAGGUCUGGGGAAAUUUGAUAAUGGAAGCCUUCACCGUGGAGGAUUUCCCAGAGAAUAUAUGGGUGUUAAUUACAAGGCUUAGGAGAACUGUUCAGGGUGUGUGAGCACAACAAAACUCGGCAACUUCUUGAUGGCAACUGUGAAAUCAACAUAAAAGGUAUAUUUCCUUUAUCAACUACUUGUAAUAAUGUACGUGCAAUGCACGUUUAUAUUAGGUAGGAUAUUAGUUGCACGUUAUAUUAGGUAAGAUAUAUUUGUUGCAUGUUGGUAUUUGGUAAGAUAUUAAUUACUUUUUCACGGGAAUGGUAGGAUACUAAUUACAUGGCAGAUUUCAAGGAAUAACGUUGACAGGUAGGAUAUUAGUUGCACGUUAUAUUAGGUAAGAUAUAUCUGUUGCAUGUUGGUAUUUGGUAAGAUAUUAAUUACUUUUUCACGAGAAUGGUAGGAUACUAAUUAUAUGGCAGAUUUCAAGGGAUAGCAUUGACUCAAAAUGUGUUUAUAAUCAAUGGCAGUGGUGGUUAAUUAGAGCGGUUAACGUGUUUGGUGCUUAACAUUGGAGCGAUUUGAACCGCUAGAUAACAUGAUUUGACGGUCGAGAUGGUUUGGAUUUGCCCAUUUGGGUUUUUUUAUUGGUAUAGAUUAAUCUUAAGUCUAUAUUCACGAAGAGUAAUACCUUGUUCCAUCCAAAGGUGGCAUAAAAGGCAAAGUGCUGAUGGGACACAAUAGAUGCCUGGUUUUUACUGAAGCUACAAUUUAUUUUUAUUUUUGCGUUGUGAAGCUCCAGUUUAUACAAUAAAACGUGUGUGGAAGAAUGAAAGCUGAGGUGUCAUUUUAUUCAUGUUUGCUUUGAAAUACUCCUAUAUAUUUGGCAGAACAAUCAGCUCAAGUAUAAACAGAAAACACGGGAUGUGCCACAACAGAAAUUAUUGACUAUGUGGCGGCAUAGAAUAUUCCAAUUUUGUUCAAAAUUUCUUUCCCCAAUUUUAUGUCUAGGCUUUCAAAGUAAUGGUUGAUGAACAAAAAAUAUUGGAAAGUUAUAAAGUAUAACUACUGCAGCUAUCAAUAAUUAUAUAUUUGGUCCGUGUCCUUUUACCUCGUGAAAGAUAGAGAAUUUGUAGGUAGCUUCGGUUGAGGGAGCAGACUUGCACUCACCAAAUGUGCUAUAAAAUGUCCAAUUCAUGUGGUGUGAAUUACUCUGAAUAUAUAUGGAGUACUCAGUAUUCUCUCUCUCCCUCCCUCUCUCUCUCUCUCCGCGCCCGUCGGGGAAUAAAGUGACGAUUAUUCUAAAUAUAUAGGAAGAUUAAGAAACAAUAUCUCAUAAUUAACAAAUACUCUAACCUGGUAUGUUGCUUCUACUGUAUGCUGAUUCUUCAAGAGGUGUUCAUCACUGUCAACAUUUAUCCAUCAAUCAUUUGAAAAAAAAGAUCGAUAAGACUCGAACCAGCUUCACACUAUUCCCCUGUGCACUAACUAAUGUUUUGUUUAAUUAAAACCCUAAACCCAACUUCAAACUAUUCCCCUGGAUGCCAGCUAAUUUUUAGUUCAAGUACUAAGAUACUUAUGUGUUAGUUCAUGCAAAUUUACAAGCAUGUCUCAUAUCUUCGUAUACUUAUAGAAAUUCCUAUCAUUUUAUAGCAAAAAUAGAUGGGCGCGGCAACGCGCGCCGUAAUGGUCUAGUAUGGUGUUAUUUUACAACAAACUCUAGGGCUGUUUGUGACACUUAUAGGAAUAUAUAGCUCAAUAGAUUGAUCGAAAAGGAUAACUUUGAGGUGGCUUCGUACCCUACAAACCAUUUCCUCUUAUGUUCUCUCCUUGAUAAGAAUUUUGGAGUGAUUCUUUGUCGCGCGUUGAGGGAUUGUUAUAUGAUUCAAUUAUGUUAGCACCGUUGAGAGAUUGCAUUAGUGAAAGUAUUUGAACCCUAGGCCUUAUUUGUAAGCAUUGCAAUACUGUUCAUGCUCCGUUUUGUCACUUGCUACCUUGCUGUUUUUAUAUUUUCAUAUUACAAAAACCUAUAUCUACUAUCCAUACUAAACUUCUAUCACCAUCUCUUCGCCGAACUAGUGCAACUAUACAAUUUGUCAUUGUAUUGGGUGUGUUUGGGACACAAGAGAUUUCUUGUAUUUGAUUGCAGGUUAUGAGAAAGACCAUCUUCAUCCUACACCUCCAACGGAUUGAUAAACCUUAGGUCAUUCACUUGAGGCAAAUUUAUUGUUGUCCUACAAAACUCUGCACUUGGAGGCCUAACAUGAGUCUACAAGAAUAAAUUGUGUAGUAGACAUCGACUUGUUGGGGAGGUUACGAGCACAACGCGGUGCUCGGAUACGAGCGACAGAAGCUGUGUGCGCGGCGACGGGCUUUCGGCCAGAGCAGAACAAAGGUGACAACAGCGUUGCGACUGCGGAUCGAGAGUGUCGAGAGAGGGGAAAAGAUUGGGAGCUCACCUAGGGGGCACACGGUGGCCCGUUGGUGGCUUAGUAGCACAGAUGGUGGCCGGAUUCGACAAAGAACGUCGGUGACCGAAGGUUCAAGAGGAUCUCGAUCCGCUUGAUGCAGGCAUUCCCGACUCGAGCUGAUCGUUGUAGACGAAGUAGAAGAGGCAGGCGAAUCUCCUGGCGGGAUCUUAGUUGAUGGGGACGCCGGUGGCCAUGUGAACGGAGGAGACCAUGGCGAUGGUGGCAUUGGGGAGAAUCGAGCGGUGCGAGGGAGAGGGGAAAUUGAGCUAGGGUUUGUGCCGGGGGUUGGCCUUAUGCUCCAAGAGAGCCGGGGGAUGGCCGGCACGCCACAUGGCGCGGCCAUGGCCGGUGGAUGCCUGCCGCGAUCCCCCCUCCGCCGCGCAUGAACAGGAGGUAGGGAUGACACGUAUGUGGGCUGGGCCGCCACUAUAGUAGCAGGCCGAAGUGCACAAUAGUUUUUCUCUUUUUCUUUUAUUCUUUUCUGGUUCUUUUAUUUCUUUGCUAGUUUGCAUUUAAAUUUAAUACAAAUGAAUUUUGUUGAUUAUGAAACUUGGCACAUAAAUAGUAGUCAGUUUUUGAGCUAGCACAACAAGUCUCAAUUUAUUUUGAAUAUUUAUUUAAUAUGAAAAGGCUUAAUAUAAUGUUGCUAGUCCACUAAAAUAAUUACCAAGGGCGAUUUGGGCCUCCAAAUGGAGUUGAUAAUAUUUUUACCGAUACUUGGGGAAUUUAUGACAUAUUGUAAAGAAUUUUGUUCAGUGUUUGAAGAGAUAAUAAUUUGAUUUGCAAUUUAAAUUUGACUUUGAUUUUUAUCAAGUGGCAAUUUGGCUUAGUAAAACAUGAUGACAUGGCAUCACUAGCAUGGGUUCAUUAUAGCUUAACUAUUGGGGUGUUACAACCAUGGACCGGCGACUUCCUGGUCGGGUACCGCCGACCCUAACAUCUCUGCAAUCAGUGCAUCGUCAAUGAUAUCCAGGAGCCCGAGCGCACACCAAACACUCUGUGCACAAGUGUAGGUAAAUGACAAGUGAUGAAUAUUCUACAGACCUGACCGACAAAUAGGACAUUAUGGAGAGACGGGUAUAUGUCGCAAUGCAAGGAUCGCCAUGCGAGGAACUGUACCAUGCAGAGCCUUCCAUAGGAACACCUUACUCUUACUUGGGAUUUUUAACUUCCAUAAGAUGUCCCGCACCGGGUUCGGUGCAGCAGAGCCGGGAAAGUAUCAAGUACUCCCACCCCUAGGGUGCUCCGGGUGCACCCAUGCCGAAAAACAUUUUUAAAAUAUUCAAAAAAUUCUGAAAAAAUGCAGCACAUCGAUGGAACAUCGAUGUCUCUUGUCACAAAAUUUCAAAUAAAAAUUCAAAACAUUGCUCGAGAUAUAAAAAUGACAAAUUUGACGUCAAUGUGAUAAUGGGCCAAAUCUAAAGCCCAACUUAUGUUAUGUACAAAAACUUGUCAUUUUUGUAUCUCGAGCAAUGUUUCGAAUUUUGAUAUGAAAUUUUGUGACAAGAGACAUCGAUGUUCCGUUAAUGUGCUGUAUUUUUUUCAGAAUUUUUUGAACAAUUUAAAAAUGUUUUUCGGACAUUUGGAGCACCGGGAGUAUCCCAAGCCUGGGAGUACUAGAUACUUUCCCCAGCAGAGCCUUGCUCACCUUCUCUUCCAGUUCGUGCGCCGAAUAUAUGCUCCUAUUCAAUGUGACAGGCAGAGCGAACAGAGAAUAAAAAAAAAAGUUCUUAUACGACACCACAAAAUCUUCCUGCAAUGUGGACUCAAAGGGAUUGCAAGAAUAUUGUUUUGCAUCAGUGGGUAAGAAAAUAUCUCUGUUCGUCCCAGCCACCAUUAUGUUGAUCCAUCAGAUUGUCAGCAAUAUGCAGAACAGAAUAUGGUGGCCCCUCCUGGUAAAAACUUUCCUGGAGUGGCUAUUUGGGAUCCGAUGGUCUUCCCAAAUGUUAAUUCUUUCUCUUCAGCCAACUCUCUGAAUAUGUCACACUUCAAAGUUUGCAGUCGUGCAAGAAUGCUCCCCAAGCCCACGUUAGUACUGCAGACAUGUUUGCUGUAGGCCGGUUUGCUUCAGAGUUCACAUAAUGGAUUUCUUGAAUUUUGGUACAGAAGAAGAAGACCCAAACGAAUCUGCAUCUUCUGACCCGAAAAAUCAGGAGACACACUCCCGCUAACACUAUUUUAUGUAUUAUCUUUGUUUCUGAAUUUCUGUUGCACAAAUUGAUCACAUGGAUAGUUAAUAAACUUGAGCAUUAGCCACUGUACUUCCUAUAUGUCGAUAAACGGUACAUUGCUUUUCACUUUGCAGCCAGAGGUUUAGACUUCACAUGGAUUAAUGCAGUUAUUUUUGGAGAUAAUUGCUAAUUCAAACUUCAAGGUACUACCUUUUUCUUUUCUUAUCUUGAUAAAUGAUAAGCUUAGAACUUUAGUUAUAUAGGUAUAUCAAAAUUUAGGACCCUAUUUUGCAUUUCAUGCUAGCCUCACCCCACCGGCCGCCAUGGCUCGCACCAUGGCUGCUGUGUUUUUUUCUUGGCAGUGCCACCUCGGCUCUGCCUUGGCCUGCGAGCAUUGCUUGGAUGUGGCCUCGUUGCAACUACGAAUAAGGGUGCCGUCGAAACAGAGCUCCACAUCCAUCCCCGAAGCACACCCUACCCUGACACAUGUGCCGACGACCGCAAAGCUAACGCCUANNNNNNNNNNNNNNNNNNNNNNNNNNNNNNNNNNNNNNNNNNNNNNNNNNNNNNNNNNNNNNNNNNNNNNNNNNNNNNNNNNNNNNNNNNNNNNNNNNNNNNNNNNNNNNNNNNNNNNNNNNNNNNNNNNNNNNNNNNNNNNNNNNNNNNNNNNNNNNNNNNNNNNNNNNNNNNNNNNNNNNNNNNNNNNNNNNNNNNNNNNNNNNNNNNNNNNNNNNNNNNNNNNNNNNNNNNNNNNNNNNNNNNNNNNNNNNNNNNNNNNNNNNNNNNNNNNNNNNNNNNNNGGAAACCAUCGAGUGUGGAGGGGCGGUGAUGACGAUCUCUCCGAAGGGCUUAACGAGGGGUAGUAGAGGUCAUGCCAGUGGGCAGCGUGCCAGACGGUGAAAAAAAACCUUGGCGGCAAAAACUAGAGAAAAUGAAAAACCUCGAACUAGCACAUCCAAUCAGCACUAAAACUGGGAAAAAUACUAAAUGGCGUAAACCGUGGCACAUGUUUGCUUAAAUGGGGUAUAAAUGAAGUAAUAUCUGUCACAAACGUGAAACUUGCGGGUAAAGAGUGGAAUUAACUCUAAACUAUGUCAAGUAAGAAAACGCUUCUAUAUAUAAAAGUAUAUUGUACAAACCUUGGGACAUAUAAAUCUUACUGACAUGGUUCACACAAGCUAGACCAUGUGGCCUUCACUGACAUUACAAGACCGUACAUAUUACUUGAAAUUUUCGUAGAGCUUCCACUCUUCUGUGGUUCAAACCACACAGUGUCAAAUAUAAUAUCCUCAAUGUCGUAGUGAAAAUAUCCGGGAAUUUUCGAAUCACCAACAACGCCAUCAGGAUAGCAAUUAUCAUCACCUGAGUGACGGUUGUGCGUGUAUAAGUCUAUAGUCAAAUUCUCGGUGUAAUCCACACAAACCAUGACCGGUGGCAGUCUGCAAACACUCAACUUGCCAUUGAAGACUGAAAAAGCACCCCCUUGCAUGGUACGGUAGACCGCAGUUAUUGUAAGUGAAUCAAACAAAUUGUUCCCAAGAUGAUGCACCUCAAACUCCAACAUAGCCAACACGGCCUUUGGGAUAGAAGCCAUUCUUAGAUCGGCGCUGCCGUGGUGGCCAGUGUUAAUGUGCCAAUGGUGUCUUUCAUAUUCUGCAUAGAAAGAUGGAGCAUAGACCGAAUAUCCGUCUAUUAACACCUUAUCAUCUUCACCUUCUUCAUCUUUAAUUAGCAAACGAUAUUCAAUUAGCACAAGCCCAACCGCGUAGAUGCCUUGAAGUGGAUUAAGUAGAGGUUGAAGCUUACAAGAACCCUGUAUAUUGUAUAGUUAGACACAUAUCCUGCAGAUUUCUUCAGUAAAGAGAAAAUAAGAGAAGGUACAACAUAACUCACCGGCUUAAGCUUACAUGGUUUGUCUCUAGAGUAUUCAAAGACAUAGUUGCGUAGUUGGUUGUUUCGUACAUCUCGGAAUGCAAACAUGCCGUAGACCUCUAAGGUGGCAUCGUGAGGAGACGAUAAAUUCAAACUAAACACUUGGAUUGCCCGUCGACAAGGUUCAUUCUCCCUUUUGUCGACCCAACGGUUUUCCCAUCUUGGCAAUAGAGGCACUGCAGGCAAUAUGAAAACAAAUCAUUAGAUAUCAAAAGUUGCACAGUAAAUACAUGGAUAAUGUCAUAUAGAUUAGAACUUCGGAAUCUUACAAUAUAUAGAACCCGAGGAAGACUUCUCUCGAUUUUUCUCUUUACACAUGCUUAGGUAUUUUUUUAUGACUUAUGGAACUCCCUUCCCUUGGUCCACAAGCAAAUCAUUGGACAUGGCGUAGAAAUAGAGAAUAUGACUUGCUCAAGAUACAAUCGCCAUGCGCAUGCAAAUCUUUUUUUAACUUUAUUUAUAAAGGCAUACCGUCAAACUUUCUAAAAAAUUGCCACCGGUACAAACAUAUUUGAGAUUGUGAUGUUCUAGAAUCUGUGGGUUCAAAACUUAUAAAAUGUACUUGUCAUCAUAUGCUUAAAACUAAGUGAAUUCAUCAAAACAUAAAAACUAGUACACAAUUGCAAUUAAGCGUGGCCACUUACGCAAGCUUUGAGCAGAUAACAGUGUUGGAUCGAGCUGACACGGGCCCUUGACCUGAAGAGACCCCUCCCAGAUCCCCCUUGAUCUCUUGGCGCAGGACCUGGUCGGCGGAAACCGCAUCUGAUUCUCCCACCUCUCCUCCAUGUCGGCGACGUAAUAAGGGUUCCCGUCCUCGUAGUAGAACCACCAUAGUGGAGCUCCUUUUCUUCUUGGUCUGAUUCGUAGUACUCGUAAUUGCCUUCGUCGUCUCGCUCUUGCUGUUCCUGCAGGAUGGAGUCCAGCUCCCUGUCCCACAGCCAGGUGCCGAGCACCUCAUCCUCUAGCUUCUUUCUCAGGGCCGCCAUGUCCAGAUCCGGCUCCAUGGCCGCCGAGGCGCCGCGAGAUCGAUCCGCGAGACAGAUUUACAGGGGACAAAAGGGAGG
rnacentral:lncRNA from 1 species